AGAUCUGUGGCAGAGGGUAUUAAAUGUGUUGAUUUGUAAAGUCGAUUAUAGUCUGGAUGGGCUCGGGUCUA
rnacentral:tRNA from 1 species